GAUGAACGCUGGCGGCGUGCCUAAUACAUGCCAGUCGAGCGAACGGACGAGAAGCUUGCUUCUCUGAUGUUAGCGGCGGACGGGUGAGUAACACGUGGAUAACCUACCUAUAAGACUGGGAUAACUUCGGGAAACCGUAGCUAAUACCGGAUAAUAUUUUGAACCGCAUGGUUCAAUAGUGAAAGACGGUCUUGCUGUCACUUAUAGAUGGAUCCGCGCUGCAUUAGCUAGUUGGUAAGGUAACGGCUUACCAAGGCAACGAUGCAUAGCCGACCUGAGAGGGGAUCCGGCCACACUGGAACUGAGAACGGGCCCAGACCCCUACGGGAGGCAGCAGUAGGGAAUCUUCCGCAAGGGGCGAAAGCUUGACGGAGAAAGGCCGCGGGAGUGAGGAAGGUCUCCGGUUCGUAAAACCCUGUUAUUAGGGAAGAACAUAGGGGUAAGUAACUGGGCACAUCUGGACGGUACCUAACCAGAAGGCAACGGCAAAUUCCGG
rnacentral:rRNA from 1 species